GAUGAACGCUGGCGGCGUGCCUAAUACAUGCAAGUCGAGCGAACAGAUGAGGAUCUUGCUCCUCUGACGUUAGCGGCGGACGGGUGAGUAACACGUGGAUAACCUACCUAUAAGACUGGGAUAACUUCGGGAAACCGGAGCUAAUACCGGAUAAUAUAUUGAACCGCAUGGUUCAAUAGAGAAAGACGGUUUUGCUGUCACUUAUAGAUGUAUCCGCGCCGCAUUAGCUAGUUGGUAAGGUAACGGCUUACCAAGGCAACGAUGCGCAGCCGACCUGAGAGGGUGAUCGGUCACACUGGAACUGAGACACGGUCCAGACUCCUACGGGAGGCAGCAGUAGGGAAUCUUCCGCAAUGGGCGAAAGCCUGACGGAGCAACGCCGCGUGAGUGAUGAAGGUCUUCGGAUCGUAAAACUCUUUUAUUAGGGAAGAACAAAUGUGUAAGUAACUAUGCACGUCUUGACGGUACCUAAACAGAAAGCACCGGCUAACUACGUG
rnacentral:rRNA from 1 species